AGAGUUUGAUCCUGGCUCAGGACGAACGCUGGCGGCGCGCCUAACACAUGCAAGUCGAACGGAGCUUACGUUUUGAAGUUUUCGGAUGGAUGAAUGUAAGCUUAGUGGCGGACGGGUGAGUAACACGUGAGCAACCUGCCUUUCAGAGGGGGAUAACAGCCGGAAACGGCUGCUAAUACCGCAUAAUGUUGCGGGGGCACAUGCCCCUGCAACCAAAGGAGCAAUCCGCUGAAAGAUGGGCUCGCGUCCGAUUAGCCAGUUGGCGGGGUAACGGCCCACCAAAGCGACGAUCGGUAGCCGGACUGAGAGGUUGAACGGCCACAUUGGGACUGAGACACGGCCCAGACUCCUACGGGAGGCAGCAGUGGGGGAUAUUGCACAAUGGGCGAAAGCCUGAUGCAGCGACGCCGCGUGAGGGAAGACGGUCUUCGGAUUGUAAACCUCUGUCUUUGGGGAAGAAAAUGACGGUACCCAAAGAGGAAGCUCCGGCUAACUACGUGCCAGCAGCCGCGGUAAUACGUAGGGAGCAAGCGUUGUCCGGAAUUACUGGGUGUAAAGGGAGCGUAGGCGGGAUGGCAAGUAGAAUGUUAAAUCCAUCGGCUCAACCGGUGGCUGCGUUCUAAACUGCCGUUCUUGAGUGAAGUAGAGGCAGGCGGAAUUCCUAGUGUAGCGGUGAAAUGCGUAGAUAUUAGGAGGAACACCAGUGGCGAAGGCGGCCUGCUGGGCUUUAACUGACGCUGAGGCACGAAAGCAUGGGGAGCAAACAGGAUUAGAUACCCUGGUAGUCCAUGCUGUAAACGAUGAUAGCUAGGUGUGGGGGGACUGACCCCUUCCGUGCCGGAGUUAACACAAUAAGCUAUCCACCUGGGGAGUACGAUCGCAAGAUUGAAACUCAAAGGAAUUGACGGGGGCCCGCACAAGCAGUGGAGUAUGUGGUUUAAUUCGACGCAACGCGAAGAACCUUACCAGGUCUUGACAUCCAACUAACGAGGUAGAGAUACGUUAGGUGCCCUUCGGGGAAAGUUGAGACAGGUGGUGCAUGGUUGUCGUCAGCUCGUGUCGUGAGAUGUUGGGUUAAGUCCCGCAACGAGCGCAACC
rnacentral:rRNA from 1 species